CUAAAUAAUCAUAUGAGUAGGGUAGUAAAAGAUGUUCUUCAAACCCAAAGAUUUUGGCGGCAUCCCAUCCUAAUAGAGGAGCUUGUCCUAUAAUUGAUAGACCUCAUUUUAUCUUACCUUUUCUUGUUUAGCUUGUAUACCGCCGUUGUCAGACUACUUUAAAAGAAUGUUUUCUAUAAAAAUAUUUUUCUUACUUCAGGUCAAGGUGCAGCUUAUGGAAAGGUAGCGAUGAGCUACAAUUUUAAGUAAAAAAAUACGGAUUUUAGGUUUAAAAAUCGGAGGAAGGUCGGGAUUUAUUAGUAAAUUUAUUUAAGUAUAAUAAAUUGAAUAAGGCAAU
rnacentral:rRNA from 1 species